rnacentral:rRNA from 1 species
GGGUUGUGAGGUUAAGCGACUAAGCGUACACGGUGGAUGCCCUGGCAGUCAGAGGCGAUGAAGGACGUGCUAAUCUGCGAUAAGCGUCGGUGAGGUGAUAUGAACCGUUAUAACCGGCGAUUUCCGAAUGGGGAAACCCAGUGUGUUUCGACACACUAUCAUUAACUGAAUCCAUAGGUUAAUGAGGCGAACCGGGGGAACUGAAACAUCUAAGUACCCCGAGGAAAAGAAAUCAACCGAGAUUCCCCCAGUAGCGGCGAGCGAACGGGGAGGAGCCCAGAGCCUGAAUCAGUGUGUGUGUUAGUGGAAGCGUCUGGAAAGGCGCGCGAUACAGGGUGACAGCCCCGUACACAAAAAUGCACAUGCUGUGAGCUCGAUGAGUAGGGCGGGACACGUGGUAUCCUGUCUGAAUAUGGGGGGACCAUCCUCCAAGGCUAAAUACUCCUGACUGACCGAUAGUGAACCAGUACCGUGAGGGAAAGGCGAAAAGAACCCCGGCGAGGGGAGUGAAAAAGAACCUGAAACCGUGUACGUACAAGCAGUGGGAGCCUCUUAAUGGGGUGACUGCGUACCUUUUGUAUAAUGGGUCAGCGACUUAUAUUCUGUAGCAAGGUUAACCGAAUAGGGGAGCCGAAGGGAAACCGAGUCUUAACUGGGCGUUAAGUUGCAGGGUAUAGACCCGAAACCCGGUGAUCUAGCCAUGGGCAGGUUGAAGGUUGGGUAACACUAACUGGAGGACCGAACCGACUAAUGUUGAAAAAUUAGCGGAUGACUUGUGGCUGGGGGUGAAAGGCCAAUCAAACCGGGAGAUAGCUGGUUCUCCCCGAAAGCUAUUUAGGUAGCGCCUCGUGAAUUCAUCUCCGGGGGUAGAGCACUGUUUCGGCAAGGGGGUCAUCCCGACUUACCAACCCGAUGCAAACUGCGAAUACCGGAGAAUGUUAUCACGGGAGACACACGGCGGGUGCUAACGUCCGUCGUGAAGAGGGAAACAACCCAGACCGCCAGCUAAGGUCCCAAAGUCAUGGUUAAGUGGGAAACGAUGUGGGAAGGCCCAGACAGCCAGGAUGUUGGCUUAGAAGCAGCCAUCAUUUAAAGAAAGCGUAAUAGCUCACUGGUCGAGUCGGCCUGCGCGGAAGAUGUAACGGGGCUAAACCAUGCACCGAAGCUGCGGCAGCGACACUAUGUGUUGUUGGGUAGGGGAGCGUUCUGUAAGCCUGUGAAGGUGGCCUGUGAGGGUUGCUGGAGGUAUCAGAAGUGCGAAUGCUGACAUAAGUAACGAUAAAGCGGGUGAAAAGCCCGCUCGCCGGAAGACCAAGGGUUCCUGUCCAACGUUAAUCGGGGCAGGGUGAGUCGACCCCUAAGGCGAGGCCGAAAGGCGUAGUCGAUGGGAAACAUGUUAAUAUUCCUGUACUUGGUGUUACUGCGAAGGGGGGACGGAGAAGGCUAUGUUGGCCGGGCGACGGUUGUCCCGGUUUAAGCGUGUAGGCUGGUUUUCCAGGCAAAUCCGGAAAACCAAGGCUGAGGCGUGAUGACGAGGCACUACGGUGCUGAAGUGACAAAUGCCCUGCUUCCAGGAAAAGCCUCUAAGCAUCAGGUAACAUCAAAUCGUACCCCAAACCGACACAGGUGGUCAGGUAGAGAAUACCAAGGCGCUUGAGAGAACUCGGGUGAAGGAACUAGGCAAAAUGGUGCCGUAACUUCGGGAGAAGGCACGCUGAUAUGUAGGUGAAGCGACUUGCUCGUGGAGCUGAAAUCAGUCGAAGAUACCAGCUGGCUGCAACUGUUUAUUAAAAACACAGCACUGUGCAAACACGAAAGUGGACGUAUACGGUGUGACGCCUGCCCGGUGCCGGAAGGUUAAUUGAUGGGGUUAGCGGUAACGCGAAGCUCUUGAUCGAAGCCCCGGUAAACGGCGGCCGUAACUAUAACGGUCCUAAGGUAGCGAAAUUCCUUGUCGGGUAAGUUCCGACCUGCACGAAUGGCGUAAUGAUGGCCAGGCUGUCUCCACCCGAGACUCAGUGAAAUUGAACUCGCUGUGAAGAUGCAGUGUACCCGCGGCAAGACGGAAAGACCCCGUGAACCUUUACUAUAGCUUGACACUGAACAUUGAGCCUUGAUGUGUAGGAUAGGUGGGAGGCUUUGAAGUGUGGACGCCAGUCUGCAUGGAGCCGACCUUGAAAUACCACCCUUUAAUGUUUGAUGUUCUAACGUUGGCCCCUAAUCGGGGUUGCGGACAGUGUCUGGUGGGUAGUUUGACUGGGGCGGUCUCCUCCUAAAGAGUAACGGAGGAGCACGAAGGUUGGCUAAUCCUGGUCGGACAUCAGGAGGUUAGUGCAAUGGCAUAAGCCAGCUUGACUGCGAGCGUGACGGCGCGAGCAGGUGCGAAAGCAGGUCAUAGUGAUCCGGUGGUUCUGAAUGGAAGGGCCAUCGCUCAACGGAUAAAAGGUACUCCGGGGAUAACAGGCUGAUACCGCCCAAGAGUUCAUAUCGACGGCGGUGUUUGGCACCUCGAUGUCGGCUCAUCACAUCCUGGGGCUGAAGUAGGUCCCAAGGGUAUGGCUGUUCGCCAUUUAAAGUGGUACGCGAGCUGGGUUUAGAACGUCGUGAGACAGUUCGGUCCCUAUCUGCCGUGGGCGCUGGAGAACUGAGGGGGGCUGCUCCUAGUACGAGAGGACCGGAGUGGACGUAUCACUGGUGUUCGGGUUGUCAUGCCAAUGGCACUGCCCGGUAGCUAAAUGCGGAAGAGAUAAGUGCUGAAAGCAUCUAAGCACGAAACUUGCCCCGAGAUGAGUUCUCCCUGAGACUUAGAGUCUCCUGAAGGAACGUUGAAGACGACGACGUUGAUAGGCCGGGUGUGUAAGCGCAGCGAUGCGUUGAGCUAACCGGUACUAAUGAACCGUGAGGCUUAACCUUACAACGCCGAAG